rnacentral:rRNA from 1 species
AUUGAACGCUGGCGGCAGGCCUAACACAUGCAAGUCGAACGAGUGGCGGACGGGUGAGUAAUGUCUGGGAAACUGCCCGAUGGAGGGGGAUAACUACUGGAAACGGUAGCUAAUACCGCAUACCAUCGGAUGUGCCCAGAUGGGAUUAGCUAGUAGGUGGGGUAACGGCUCACCUAGGCGACGAUCCCUAGCUGGUCUGAGAGGAUGACCAGCCAAACUGGAACUGAGACACGGUCCAGACUCCUACGGGAGGCAGCAGUGGGGAAUAUUGCACAAGGGGCGCAAGCCUGAUGCAGCCAUGCCGCGUGUAUGAAGAAGGCCUUGGGGUUGUAAAGUACUUUCAGCGAGGAGGCGGGAAGCGCAGAAGAAGCACCGGCUAACUCCGUGCCAGCAGCCGCGGUAAUAG